GCCGGGCGUGGUGGUGGGCGCCUGUAAUCCCAGCUACUCGGGAGGCUGAGACGGGAGAAUUGCUUGAACCCAGGAGGCUGAGCUUGUAGUGAGCAGAGAUUGUGCCACCGCACUCCAGCCUGGGAGACAGAGUGAGACUCCGUCUCAA
rnacentral:SRP_RNA from 1 species